ACUCAAAUGAAUAGACGGGGGCCCGCACAAGCGGCGGAGCAUGCGGAUUAAUUCGAUGCAACGCGAAGAACCUUACCUGGGUUUGACAUGGCCGCAAAACUGUCAGAGAUGGCAGGUCCUUCGGGGGCGGUCACAGGUGGUGCAUGGCUGUCGUCAGCUCGUGUCGUGAGAUGUUGGGUUAAGUCCCGCAACGAGCGCAACCCUCGUUCGAUGUUGCCAGCGCGUUAUGGCGGGGACUCAUCGAAGACUGCCGGGGUCAACUCGGAGGAAGGUGGGGAUGACGUCAAGUCAUCAUGCCCCUUAUGUCCAGGGCUUCACGCAUGCUACAAUGGCCGGUACAAACCGCUGCGAGCCCGUGAGGGGGAGCGAAUCGGAAAAAGCCGGUCUCAGUUCGGAUCGGGGUCUGCAACUCGACCCCGUGAAGUCGGAGUCGCUAGUAAUCGCAGAUCAGCAACGCUGCGGUGAAUACGUUCCCGGGCCUUGCACACACCGCCCGU
rnacentral:rRNA from 1 species